rnacentral:rRNA from 1 species
ACGAUAGUCCCCGGGGAGCUGUCAACCAAGCUUUGAUCCGGGGGUUUCCGAAUGGGGAAACCCGGCAGUCGUCAUGGGCUGUCACCCGCUGCUGAACACAUAGGCAGUGUGGAGGGCGGCCCCACGGCAC